rnacentral:lncRNA from 1 species
AAAAAAGCUUACCCCUGCACUUGGCGCUUUCAGGCAAGGAUAACUUUAGCCGGAGAUUUGAAGGCGAGGAGGAGAGAGGCGGGCAUGUGGCCACUAUAUAUUGAACAAGUAACUGGCUGCAGGUGAGGAGGUUAGAUUCCAGGACAGGAACCCUCUUUAAGAAGGAGGUUGCUGGAUCCUCUGGGACCCCCAGUAUAUAUUUGUAUAUUCUAGUUGUGAGUGCUUCUGGUUGUGCUAUGUGGGACGCCGCCUCAGCAUGGCCUGAUGAGCGGUGCCAUGUCCACGCCCAGGAUCCGAACCAGCGAAAACCUGGGCUGCCCAAGUUGAGCAUAUGAACCUAACCUUGCAGCCACGGGGCCAGCCCCCAGGCAAAUUUGAAACUGCUUCCCGAGGGUCCCAGGAUAAAGGAGGAAGUGAG